rnacentral:rRNA from 1 species
UACGUAGGGUGCGAGCGUUGUCCGGAAUUACUGGGCGUAAAGAGCUCGUAGGCGGUCUGUCGCGUCUGCUGUGAAAACUCAGGGCUUAACCCUGAGCUUGCAGUGGGUACGGGCAGACUAGAGUGCGGUAGGGGAGACUGGAAUUCCUGGUGUAGCGGUGAAAUGCGCAGAUAUCAGGAGGAACACCGGUGGCGAAGGCGGGGUC